rnacentral:rRNA from 1 species
GGGGAAUAUUGGACAAUGGGCGAAAGCCUGAUCCAGCCAUGCCGCGUGAGUGAUGAAGGCCCUAGGGUUGUAAGGCUCUUUUGUGCGGGAAGAUAAUGACGGUACCGCAAGAAUAAGCCCCGGCUAACUUCGUGCCAGCAGCCGCGGUAAUACGAAGGGGGCUAGCGUUGCUCGGAAUCACUGGGCGUAAAGGGUGCGUAGGCGGGUUUCUAAGUCAGAGGUGAAAGCCUGGAGCUCAACUCCAGAACUGCCUUUGAUACUGGAAGUCUUGAGUUCGGGAGAGGUCAGUGGAACUGCGGGUGUAGAGGUGAAAUUCGUAGAUAUUCGCAAGAACACCAGUGGCGAAGGCGGCUCACUGGCCCGAUACUGACGCUGAAGCACGAAAGCGU